ACUGACCCCUUUAAUAAUACUGAGAACUUCUAUAACCCUAUAGAACUUUUUAUGCUAAAACUAGUAACAAGAGAAAACCCUCUCCUAAAUGCAAGCGCAAGCCAGCAAGAACCCAUCACUGGCAACUAACAAACCCACAAAUAGCAACCUUAUACAAGAAAACCCUACUUUUCCCCCCUGUUAAACUUAUACUAGAGCAUUUCAAGAAAAAUUAAAAGAAAAAGAAGGAAUUCGGCAAACACUAACCCCGCCUGUUUACCAAAAACAUCGCCUCUUGACCCCCCCCCCCAUAAGAGGUCCAGCCUGCCCAGUGACUCUGUUCAACGGCCGCGGUAUUCUAACCGUGCAAAGGUAGCGUAAUCACUUGUUUUCUAAAUAAAGACCAGUAUGAAGGGCACCACGAAGGUUAAGCUGUCUCCUUUUUCUAAUUAGUGAACCUAAUCUCCCCGUGAAGAAGCGGGGAUUAAAAUAUAAGACGAGAAGACCCUGUGGAGCUUAAAAUACUAUAACACCUGCCUCUACUCUCCUACCACCCCGAUACUUCACCCAGACGGCACUCUGAUUAUAUAUUUUUGGUUGGGGUGACCGCGGAGAAAAACCCAUCCUCCACAAUGAAAGGAAUCUCCCCCUAAACAAUAAGCCACAACUUUAUGUAUUAAAAAAUUGACAUCCGUUGACCCAACAAGUUGAUCAAUGAACCAAGUUACCCCAGGGAUAACAGCACAAUCCACUUUAAGAGUCCAUAUCGACAAGUGGGCUUAUGACCUCGAUGUUGGAUCGGGG
rnacentral:rRNA from 1 species